rnacentral:lncRNA from 1 species
UUCCGGGAAAACAAGCCCAGAAGGCGGCGGACACUCGCAUAAAGUCACGCAGUAGUACUCGGAGCCCGGGGUAGAACCUGGACUUCAAAUCUCUGCACUCCCGGCCGGGUGGUGGGCGCAUAUCCUGGGUAGCCUCUAGGAAGCGCUAGACACAUGGAACCAAGGCAGAUUCAGCCUGGCAGCUGGCAAGUCAUGGAGCACUGCCUGUCCAUCUGCGAGCUAACAACAGUCGCGCUGGAAGUCAACAAGGGAAAUGGAAAGGGAGAGACCCAGCCUCCACAGGGGCUCACGCCCUGGGACCUGUGCCAGUGUGAACAAGGUUUUCCGGUUCUAGCCAGAGGAAGCUGCAGCCAGGCCUGGCAGUCUCCCCUGCUCCCUUCCACCAGCUUGGUUCCUGUUUCUGCUGGUCCUGGGAGCCCCCAGCAGAUGGACUGCCCUUAUCAGCCGGCUCCAGGCCAGAGGAGGAAUCCUCCGGUCACGUGUGGCUCUCUGGAGGGAGAGAGACCUCAUAAAUACAUACAGCCCACGCAGAGGAAGGGGGGAGGGUCAAGGGGAAAGAAACCUUGACAUUCUGGCGACUGGGCCAGGAUUAAAGUCCACCAGGCAUAGUCCUUAUUGGCUAUUUCUAUGAGGAAUCUCAAAUCCACAUGGCUUCCCUGGAUGACAACGCUGACUUUGACUAGCCCUGGGAUCUGGGGCAUUCCCAGUGUGCUGCUGGCUUGAUCCAGGCCUAAUCCUUUGCCCAGGACUGACCUUUCACAGUUUACAGAGCACUUUAUCUCCUGGCUCAGUGAAGUCUCACAGAACCCUCCAGAGAGAAGGGAGUUUAUCAUCACCCUCAAUUUACAGAUGAGGAAGCUGAGGCUGCGAUUGUAACUGACUGACUGCUGGCUACGCAGCUACAAGUGACCGAGUCCAGCCUGAAAGCCACAUAUAUUCUCCCACAAAAUCCAGAGCUGCCAAACACAUCCUCCUCCAUGAGUCUUGCUUUGUG